rnacentral:rRNA from 1 species
UACGUAGGGGGCAAGCGUUGUCCGGAUUUAUUGGGCGUAAAGAGCGUGUAGGCGGCCAUACAGGUCCGUUGUGAAAACUGGAGGCUUAACCUCCAGACGUCGAUGGAAACCGUAUGGCUAGAGUCCGGAAGAGGAGAGUGGAAUUCCUGGUGUAGCGGUGAAAUGCGCAGAUAUCAGGAGGAACACCGAUUGCGAAGGCAGCUCGCUGGGACGUUACUGACGCUGAGACGCGAAAGCGUGGGGAGCAAACAGG